rnacentral:rRNA from 1 species
GGGUUGUGAGGUUAAGCGACUAAGCGUACACGGUGGAUGCCCUGGCAGUCAGAGGCGAUGAAGGACGUGCUAAUCUGCGAAAAGCGUCGGUAAGGUGAUAUGAACCGUUAUAACCGGCGAUGUCCGAAUGGGGAAACCCAGUGCAAUUCGUUGCACUAUCGUUAACUGAAUACAUAGGUUAACGAGGCGAACCGGGGGAACUGAAACAUCUAAGUACCCCGAGGAAAAGAAAUCAACCGAGAUUCCCCCAGUAGCGGCGAGCGAACGGGGAGCAGCCCAGAGUCUGAAUCAGCUUGUGUGUUAGUGGAACGGUCUGGAAAGUCCGACGGUACAGGGUGAUAGUCCCGUACACCAAAAUGCACAGGCUGUGAACUCGAAGAGUAGGGCGGGACACGUGGUAUCCUGUCUGAAUAUGGGGGGGACCAUCCUCCAAGGCUAAAUACUCCUGACUGACCGAUAGUGAACCAGUACCGUGAGGGAAAGGCGAAAAGAACCCCGGCGAGGGGAGUGAAAAAGAACCUGAAACCGUGUACGUACAAGCAGUGGGAGCACCUUCGGGUGUGACUGCGUACCUUUUGUAUAAUGGGUCAGCGACUUAUAUUCUGUAGCAAGGUUAACCGUAUAGGGGAGCCGCAGGGAAACCGAGUCUUAACUGGGCGUUAAGUUGCAGGGUAUAGACCCGAAACCCGGUGAUCUAGCCAUGGGCAGGUUGAAGGUUGGGUAACACUAACUGGAGGACCGAACCGACUAAUGUUGAAAAAUUAGCGGAUGACUUGUGGCUGGGGGUGAAAGGCCAAUCAAACCGGGAGAUAGCUGGUUCUCCCCGAAAGCUAUUUAGGUAGCGCCUCGUGAAUUCAUCUUCGGGGGUAGAGCACUGUUUCGGCUAGGGGUCAUCCCGACUUACCAACCCGAUGCAAACUACGAAUACCGAAGAAUGUUAUCACGGGAGACACACGGCGGGUGCUAACGUCCGUCGUGAAGAGGGAAACAACCCAGACCGCCAGCUAAGGUCCCAAAGUCAUGGUUAAGUGGGAAACGAUGUGGGAAGGCACAGACAGCCGGGAUGUUGGCUUAGAAGCAGCCAUCAUUUAAAGAAAGCGUAAUAGCUCACUGGUCGAGUCGGCCUGCGCGGAAGAUGUAACGGGGCUAAACCAUGCACCGAAGCUGCGGCAGCGACACUAUGUGUUGUUGGGUAGGGGAGCGUUCUGUAAGCCUGCGAAGGUGACCUGUGAGGGUUGCUGGAGGUAUCAGAAGUGCGAAUGCUGACAUAAGUAACGAUAAAGCGGGUGAAAAGCCCGCUCGCCGGAAGACCAAGGGUUCCUGUCCAACGUUAAUCGGGGCAGGGUGAGUCGACCCCUAAGGCGAGGCCGAAAGGCGUAGUCGAUGGGAAACAGGUUAAUAUUCCUGUACUUGGUGUUACUGCGAAGGGGGACGGAGAAGGCUAUGUUAGCCGGGCGACGGUUGUCCCGGUUUAAGCAUGUAGGCUGGUUAUCCAGGCAAAUCCGGAUAAUCAAGGCUGAGGUGUGAUGACGAGGCACUACGGUGCUGAAGUAACAAAUGCCCUGCUUCCAGGAAAAGCCUCUAAGCAUCAGGUAACAUCAAAUCGUACCCCAAACCGACACAGGUGGUCAGGUAGAGAAUACCAAGGCGCUUGAGAGAACUCGGGUGAAGGAACUAGGCAAAAUGGUGCCGUAACUUCGGGAGAAGGCACGCUGGUGUGUAGGUGAAGUCCCUGCGGAUGGAGCUGAGACCAGUCGAAGAUACCAGCUGGCUGCAACUGUUUAUUAAAAACACAGCACUGUGCAAACACGAAAGUGGACGUAUACGGUGUGACGCCUGCCCGGUGCCGGAAGGUUAAUUGAUGGGGUUAUCCGUAAGGAGAAGCUCUUGAUCGAAGCCCCGGUAAACGGCGGCCGUAACUAUAACGGUCCUCAGGUAGCGAAAUUCCUUGUCGGGUAAGUUCCGACCUGCACGAAUGGCGUAAUGAUGGCCAGGCUGUCUCCACCCGAGACUCAGUGAAAUUGAACUCGCUGUGAAGAUGCAGUGUACCCGCGGCAAGACGGAAAGACCCCGUGAACCUUUACUAUAGCUUGACACUGAACAUUGAGCCUUGAUGUGUAGGAUAGGUGGGAGGCUUUGAAGCGUGGACGCCAGUCUGCGUGGAGCCAACCUUGAAAUACCACCCUUUAAUGUUUGAUGUUCUAACGUUGGCCCCUGACCGGGGUUGCGGACAGUGUCUGGUGGGUAGUUUGACUGGGGCGGUCUCCUCCCAAAGCGUAACGGAGGAGCACGAAGGUUAGCUAAUCUGGUCGGACAUCAGGAGGUUAGUGCAAUGGCAUAAGCUAGCUUGACUGCGAGCGUGACGGCGCGAGCAGGUGCGAAAGCAGGUCAUAGUGAUCCGGUGGUUCUGAAUGGAAGGGCCAUCGCUCAACGGAUAAAAGGUACUCCGGGGAUAACAGGCUGAUACCGCCCAAGAGUUCAUAUCGACGGCGGUGUUUGGCACCUCGAUGUCGGCUCAUCACAUCCUGGGGCUGAAGUAGGUCCCAAAGGGUAUGGCUGUUCGCCAUUUAAAGUGGUACGCGAGCUGGGUUUAGAACGUCGUGAGACAGUUCGGUCCCCUAUCUGCCGUGGGCGCUGGAGAAUUGAGGGGGCUGCUCCUAGUACGAGAGGACCGGGUGGACGCAUCACUGGUGUUCGGGUUGUCAUGCCAAUGGCACUGCCCGGUAGCUAAAUGCGGAAGAGAUAAGUGCUGAAAGCAUCUAAGCACGAAACUUGCCCCGAGAUGAGUUCUCCCUGAGACUUUAAGUCUCCUGAAGGAACGUUGAAGACGACGACGUUGAUAGGCCGGGUGUGUAAGCGCAGCGAUGCGUUGAGCUAACCGGUACUAAUGAACCGUGAGGCUUAACCUUACAACGCCGAAG